CGUUCCCCUUCGGGGGACAGAGUGACAGGUGGUGCAUGGUUGUCGUCAGCUCGUGUCGUGAGAUGUUGGGUUAAGUCCCGCAACGAGCGCAACCCUUGAUCUUAGUUGCCAGCAUUCAGUUGGGCACUCUAAGGUGACUGCCGGUGACAAACCGGAGGAAGGUGGGGAUGACGUCAAAUCAUCAUGCCCCUUAUGACCUGGGCUACACACGUGCUACAAUGGAUGGAACAAAGGGCAGCGAAGCCGCGAGGUGAAGCCAAUCCCAUAAAACCAUUCUCAGUUCGGAUUGCAGGCUGCAACUCGCCUGCAUGAAGCCGGAAUCGCUAGUAAUCGCGGAUCAGCAUGCCGCGGUGAAUACGUUCCCGGGCCUUGUACACACCGCCCGUCACACCACGAGAGUUUGUAACACCCGAAGUCGGUGGGGUAACUAGGGGUAACCUUGGAGCCAGCCGCCUAAGGUGGGACAGAUGAUUGGGGUGAAGUCGUAACAAGGUAGCCGUAUCGGAAGGUGCGGCUGGAUCACCUCCUUU
rnacentral:rRNA from 1 species